UACAGAGGAUGCAAGCGUUAUCCGGAAUUACUGGGCGUAAAGCGUGCGCAGGCGGUUAUAUAAGACAGUUGUGAAAUCCCCGGGCUCAACCUGGGAACUGCAUCUGUGACUGUAUAGCUAGAGUACGGUAGAGGGGGAUGGAAUUCCGCGUGUAGCAGUGAAAUGCGUAGAUAUGCGGAGGAACACCGAUGGCGAAGGCAAUCCCCUGGACCUGUACUGACGCUCAUGCACGAAAGCGUGGGGAGCAAACAGG
rnacentral:rRNA from 1 species